AACGAACGCUGGCGGCAGGCUUAACACAUGCAAGUCGAACGGUAGCACAGAGAGCUUGCUCUCGGGUGACGAGUGGCGGACGGGUGAGUAAUGUCUGGGAAACUGCCUGAUGGAGGGGGAUAACUACUGGAAACGGUAGCUAAUACCGCAUAACGUCGCAAGACCAAAGAGGGGGACCUUCGGGCCUCGUGCCAUCGGAUGUGCCCAGAUGGGAUUGGCUAGUAGGUGGGGUAAUGGCUCACCUAGGCGACGAUCCCUAGCUGGUCUGAGAGGAUGACCAGCCACACUGGAACUGAGACACGGUCCAGACUCCUACGGGAGGCAGCAGUGGGGAAUAUUGCACAAUGGGCGCAAGCCUGAUGCAGCCAUGCCGCGUGUAUGAAGAAGGCCUUCGGGUUGUAAAGUACUUUCAGCGAGGAGGAAGGCAUUAAGGUUAAUAACCUUAGUGAUUGACGUUACUCGCAGAAGAAGCACCGGCUAACUCCGUGCCAGCCGCCGCAGUAAAAC
rnacentral:rRNA from 1 species